CACACGAACUUGCACGACGGGUACAUAUUCAUACAACAACUUGAAAGAUGAUGCAAAUAGGUCACAAAACUUGAGUUUUGGGUACAUUUAGAUACAAUUCCAUCUAUUGCCAUUAACACCCCGUUAACUCUGCCUACAUGGCAUGUAAAAAGGUGGUACUGGGGAUGCACUAUCUUAGCAAACAAUCACCAUGUCAACAAGAUGCAGUAAGCCAAGAUAAUAAGCGGUCUAUCUCCCCAUUGAACAACUGCGGCCAUCCGGUUGUUUGCUUGGCUCGUGUAUGUGAAGUAGCCAGCCUUGCAUAUGCAUUGUACUCCAAUUUCGUUUAAUCUCUCACCUGCUGACAAGUGGGUCGUGCAUAGAUGGUUCAAAGGAUAAAAAAAUCUAUCUCAACGAGUACAAAGUUCGAGUAGUAGUUUCGGAUUUGUUGGCCACGACACACGUAAAUGCGAUAUGGUACGAACCUUCGGGAAGCACUAUCUUCGGGAUGAACUAUCAUGUGCGUAGUGGUUAGCACUGAACGCCUUGAGAGAAAUUGUCUCAGGUUCGAAUUUUGGUCUCCUCCAUUUUUAGAAACAAUUAAUUUCUCCUCGUAGCUCACAGGUGGGACCUACCCCAAUGAACUGACGUAGAGCGUGGGCCCACUGUCAUGUUUGACAUGCCAUGUAGGCAGAGUUAACGGGGCUUUAACAGCAAUAGACGGAAAUGUACCUACAUGUACUCGAAAUUCAAGUUAUGUGACCAGUUUGUAUCAUUUUUCAAGUUGUUGUAUGAAUCCGUACCCGCUGUGCAAGUUCAUGUAUCAUAGGUGUAAUUAACUAAGCAAACCAAUUUCAAAUUCUGCCAGCAUAUAGACAAAUAGCUGCCAUCAGGAUUCCUGAAAUUUACGAGGACAUAUUGAAUUAGUGAGGAUUUCGGAAAUUUGUAGUCCAAGCAACUCAUAUUUUGAAGUUUUGUUGCUUACCUUCCCAUCCCAUUGUGUUGCUAUGCUCCUGAAGUUGCCUAAAUUUUGCUAUAUUGGGUUACCCACAAUAGUAUCGGCAGCGAUGUUUUGUUUUGUGACAACUACUCAAAUUUAUAAUCUAAAUAUAUAAGUUGCACGCCGUGCUGUUGCUGGCAGCUUCUGACGCCAUCUGAAUCUUUUCCGGUGAGCCACCUUGUUCUCUCUUCUCUCUCCAAUUUGUACAAGAUUGAGUACCUCCGCUGCAUCUACACGACCGUCAUCUUCUAACGCGCAUUAGGCUAUCACCAGCAAGAAUCUGAGCCGCCGCCACUGUGCAGAAGCUCCCUGCUGUAGUCAGGAUAAAUUGUGGUGAUUUUGCAUAAUCUGUCCAGGGAGCUUUUCAAGACCAAAUGCUUCCUCAAUCAAGCUGUUUGGCAACAACAAUGCCAAGGUUCAGUUCGGCAAGGAAGCCCAAUAACUUUUCACAAUGACCACUAUGAUAAGUAUUCUGGCUUGGUAAAACAAGAAGAUUCUGACGGUGCGGACAGAUGUUAAUAAGGAGGUUAUCUGGUCCUCUCGACUACCAGCGAGGCCAAAAAGUGUAGAUAUAUGCCUAAGUGUAUGAUAUCAUGGCAUUCACACGCUUCACUCCAUCUAAUACAUCAAACAAAGUGAGCAGUGGCGGAGCUAGACGAAAACCAUUGGGGGGCGAAACGUAAAUGACAAAGAGCUGGGGGGGGGGGGCAAAAGGAUAAUUUUCACCUCAUCCUGGCCCUUCAAAAAAAAAUUCUUCAGGGUUUCCUCCAAAGCUGGGGGGGGCCACGGCCCCCCUCGGCCCCAACAUAGCUCCGCCGUUGUGUAGGAGGAGGGUGAUCAUCACGCCACUGAGGAUAGUGUCGCCGUCGGUGCCGAGGCUGAUUGUCGACCGCCUGGAUCUGGGGGCGCCGCUCAGGCGGCCAGGCGUCCGCACCAUGAUGCUGCCAUCUUCCUACGAGUCAUUGCUAGCUGGAGUUGAUCGGUAACUGGUUGAUUUGGCCAUUAAUCGCUUACCCUGAUCUCUCCAUUUCAUAUAGGUUAGCUUGGCUAGCGUCCGUCUUGAUUAUUUUCGUGAUGCCAUACAUGGUUUUUGGGGUCUUCUCUGCAUAUAUUCGCAAGACAAAUAGGCCUACUAUAGCAUAGUCAAAAUUGGUAGCACUAUCUAGAAAAGUUGUGAUAUUUUUGGUGAAGUUCUCAAGUUGUGCAUUGUGGUAGUGUCCCUGCUUCAUCUAUAACAACAUCUGCACCUCACUGCCAAGUUGCUGGUGAGCCUCAUCCACGCUAAAGAUGAGGGCGUCAAUUGGGCCUUCUCAGUUUGUUCAAAUUGCAAGUUUGACUGAUUCCCCCUCUAAUUUAGGUUGUGAGCCCCUUCGAUUAAUUCCUUGCUAUAACUCUGUAGUGACGGUAUCAGAGUUUCAAGGAUUUUGGGUCCAACUCUGUAUGAAUACUGUUUCUUUGCCGCAAUUUGGUCGAUCCAAUCUAAAAAACGAGACCAGAGAGGCAAGCACCCCUCGGCAUAUUUUUAUAGGACAUACCUAGAUCUUUAUAUUAUAAUCAGAUGGACACACUGUUUGAAGUAGUCUUGCAGUAGAUAGUGUUAAGAUGUGCUAUAUGGGAUGAUAUGAACCAAAUAGCAAAAGCAUUGUUGUUGCCUAUGCUACUAAAACAAUAUGGAUACAACAUUAGCUAAAAGGCUAUUUUUAUAUUUAUUCAUCUUCAACAUUUUUCUUUAACUUUUUAUUUGCUUCCUCAUUGCGUUCUUGAUUUUCAGGUAACAUAAUUGAUAUGUUUUAGCAUUCAAGGUGUAUGUUCACACAAAACUGUUUUUACAUGUCACAAUGUUUGUGAAUGGAGCAGCAACACAUUUUUUUACAUUUUAUGGGCAUAUGCCAAGAUCUCUUAUGCUCCUAAAAAGGAUCUGAUCUUGAUAUACAUGUCCUUGGCACUUUCAGAAGUAUGUAGACCAUCUCCCGGUACAUGUAGAAAUACCAAUUUCAGAAAUAUGUAAAGGGACCAUCUCUUGGUCCAUGUAAAUAGCACUUUCAGAUAUUGUAAAUGUGCAAAUAUACUUUAAAACAC